rnacentral:misc_RNA from 1 species
UUUCUAUAAUUUUAAUAUGUCAAAUUUUGUAUAAAGAAAAUUGAAUGAAAUCAGUGCUGUUAUAACCUUUUUUAAUUUGCCUUGAAAAUAGAAAUUUCAAAUAAAAACAGCAACAGCUUCUUUAGUAUUAUUGCGCGGAAUUUAUGAAAAUUUAAUUUUGAUUUAAAAAAUAAAACAAAAAUUUAAUAAAAAUGGAAAAUUGCUCAGAGCAAUUAAAAAGACAAUUGAUCAAAUGCCGUAAUUUGUUAAAUAAAGGAUAUACCAAUGUUCAGAACAGCAGAUUAAACUGGUUGAAUACAUUUUGUUUGGAAUUUUUGAAAUUUUCACAAAAUUUGCAUACAUUCUUGUCACGCGUGCAGGAGCAAAAGAAAUAUGAUAAAAAUCAUGAACAAAUCGAAAUUGUUUACUUAUGUUUGACUCAAAUUAUGACCUGUAUUAAACACCUGGAAAAUACUCUUAAGGCUGAAGAGCGACAGGGUGCCGCCAUAUCGGUAAUUGCUUCACGUCAACAUUUCUUAGAUCGUAUAAACUGGUGUCUGGAACGUUUGCGAAGUUGUUUGAAAUUCUUGUCCAAUCAUGAGGAGCCCAAAAAAUUAACCAUCCCGGAGGAAAGAUCAUUUGUGGAACUAAUGGAUAUGGUUUUAGAUCUUUUGGCUCCGUACAGCAGCUAUAAAGAUGAAUCUCAAACCGCUGACACACAUAAAUGUUUAAAUUUAGCUGAAAAUCAUUCAGAGGCCAUGUUUGCCAGUCAACAAAUACGUUCCAUUGUUGACUUUAUACUCAGUCAUACAUUGGCAUUUGCCAAUGUGGCUUUGCAGCAGGACAAAAAGGCCCUAAGUGCUCUGUGUCAAAAGGUUCUACGCGAAUGUAUGGCAUUUCAGGAAGAAUGCAAAGCUGCUCUAUUGUCUGGUGCUCAACACAACGAUAGUAAUCGUAAAUUAAAGGCUAUAUCAUUGGAAAAUGCAUUAUAUCAAUUGGAAGAUUAUAUUAAUGAAGCACUUUUACGUUUGGUUUAUACUUGCUUUUUAGAUUUUAAUAAUUUUUCCAUAGAUAAAUUGAGAACAAUGAUAAGGGAACGUGAUGCAGACGAUCCGUUAUUGGAUGAAUUGAUAGCGGAUUUUGAUGUCAAUGUAGAUAGGACAACACAAAUUGGUAUAUUUGCAAUAGCAUUUGCACCGAAUGUGAAAAUUAAAACCAUUGUACGCAGCUGUUUAGCUUCCUUUGAAUCUUUAGAUUCUUGCAUCAUACCUUCCCUACAAUCUACUAAGGGCACCUCUGAUAUCUUUGCCCAACUUCUGGAACAACAUUUCAAUGAAGAAGUUGCCAAUUUUAAAAAAGCCAUACAAGAGAUUAUCGAUAGUCAAGCAUUUGCUUCCUGCUAUUAUGAGCUCUUAACUCAAGUCAUUAAUCAGAAUGACAAAGAGUAUAACAGAGAUUCUUUAGAGACUAUUAUAAAUAUGGCAGAAUUUCUCUAUGAACACUUUCAAUUACCCGUAAAUAAUAAAGAAUUACAAAAAGAAGCUGAUCGUUUGGAAUUAUUUAAUAAGUUUCACUUAAUGCUGCUAGAGUGUCAGGCUGUUUUGAAGUGCACCACCGAAAAGGUGGAACCAGCUAGAAUAUUAAAACGUUUUAAAAUUUUACGUUCAAUUUUACGUAAAUUUAUUGAUGAACUGGGCGAUAAAGGCGCCAAUGGUGUGGCAAAUAAAUCACAAAUGUUUAUAAUGUCAGAAGACUUGAGUGACUCACAGAAAAUGUUUGCCUCUAUUGGUAUUUCACCCUCCAUACGUAGUAUAUUGUAUAAUAACAAUACACCCAUGGACAAUCGAAGGCAACAGCGUUUGUUAAAUGAUUCUUUAAAGGCGAAUUAUUCAAAGUUAAAUACAACAACAACAGAACAAGCAGCAACUCUAACCAAAAGCACUGGUCAACCAAUAGCUAAAGUUAUGGUAUCUGCCGCACCAACACAACGUGCCAGUUUACGUAGAAUAACUGCUAAUAUUAUUUCAUUUGUUUUUAGAGGAAAGUUUACGUACCGCUUUAUUUAAGCGACAAAAAACCUGUGAAACUGAACAAAUUUACACAGUAUACAAAAAUAAUUCGGAUAGUUUACAAAUAAGUGAAAUUCUCGAUCAAUUAACUGGUUUAUCUUCGAAUUUAUCCAAACAUACGUUAAAUAACAGUAUUAUUUCUAAUUAAAUUUAGAAAAUUGUUUAAUUUAAAAAAAAGUAAUAUUUGUAAGUAAUUUUAGAAAUGUGUUAAAUAUAACUUUAAUAAUUCUAAUUAACAUUAGAAAUUGGUUUAUUUUCAAAUAUUUUAUUUGUAAUUAAAAGUUAAUCAUUUAAUUUUAGUAUAAUCUUUAUUUUUUUAUGAAUUAAUUACUUUUUUUUUAAAGUUUACACAUUUGAAAGUGU